CGCGCAGGCGGUCUUGUCCGUCAGGUGUGAAAGCUCGGGGCUCAGCCCCGGAAGUGCACUUGAAACAGCAAGACUUGAAUACGGGAGAGGAAAGCGGAAUUCCUGGUGUAGAGGUGAAAUUCGUAGAUAUCAGGAGGAACACCGAUGGCGAAGGCAGCUUUCUGGACCGAUAUUGACGCUGAGGCGCGAAGGCGUGGGUAGCGAACG
rnacentral:rRNA from 1 species